UCAAUUAGCAAAGGAAGCGUUGUUGGAAUUUAAUGGGAACUCGUGUGGAAAGAAAUGGGUCACGCAGCUGACAAAUAUAAGCGGCAAGUCGUUCGGGACAACUGUGUCUCAAGCAAAUGCCAGGCGCCUAUUCGAGUCUCGAAUUUGGAACGCCAAUGAGAGUUUCGUCAGUUACAUUGAUGAGAAGGCCAGGCUGUCAGAUGCUAUCAGCAUCAGCGAAGAGAAGCGAGAAGACAAAGCCAUUGAAGGGAUUGCUGGGUGGACUCCGCAUUCAAGCGCAGUUUCAAGGAUUCAAGUGCGUUGCAGAAUUACGCCGAAUUAUUUUCAGGCAUUCAGCUACCGGCACAGCGAGCAGCAAGAGAGACUACAAAGGUGGCCACUACGGACAGACGUUCCAAAGAAGAUUUCCGUUGCUACAACUGCAACUCGAAGGGCCACAUGAGCAAGGACUGUAAGAAACCCGACAGAGUGCCAGGGUCCUGCUUCGGAUGCGGUGCUUUGGAUUAUUGGGUGUCUAAGUGUCCACUCAAUACAGAGAAGCUAGCUAAAGGAUGCGACGACCAUGCUUCAUAGACUCAGGCAGUGAUGUUUCACUUAU